rnacentral:rRNA from 1 species
GAUGAACGCUAGCUACAGGCUUAACACAUGCAAGUCGAGGGGCAGCAUGAUUGAAGCUUGCUUCAAUUGAUGGCGACCGGCGCACGGGUGAGUAACACGUAUCCAACCUUCCGUACACUCAGGGAUAGCCUUUCGAAAGAAAGAUUAAUACCUGAUGGUAUCUUAAGCACACAUGUAAUUAAGAUUAAAGAUUUAUCGGUGUACGAUGGGGAUGCGUUCCAUUAGGUAGUAGGCGGGGUAACGGCCCACCUAGCCUACGAUGGAUAGGGGUUCUGAGAGGAAGGUCCCCCACAUUGGAACUGAGACACGGUCCAAACUCCUACGGGAGGCAGCAGUGAGGAAUAUUGGUCAAUGGACGAGAGUCUGAACCAGCCAAGUAGCGUGAAGGAUGAAGGUCCUACGGAUUGUAAACUUCUUUUAUAAGGGAAUAAAACCUCCCACGUGUGGGAGCUUGUAUGUACCUUAUGAAUAAGCAUCGGCUAACUCCGUGCCAGCAGCCGCGGUAAUACGGAGGAUGCGAGCGUUAUCCGGAUUUAUUGGGUUUAAAGGGAGCGCAGACGGGUCGUUAAGUCAGCUGUGAAAGUUUGGGGCUCAACCUUAAAAUUGCAGUUGAUACUGGCGUCCUUGAGUGCGGUUGAGGUGUGCGGAAUUCGUGGUGUAGCGGUGAAAUGCUUAGAUAUCACGAAGAACUCCGAUUGCGAAGGCAGCACACUAAGCCGUAACUGACGUUCAUGCUCGAAAGUGUGGGUAUCAAACAGGAUUAGAUACCCUGGUAGUCCACACGGUAAAC